rnacentral:rRNA from 1 species
GACGAACGCUGGCGGCGUGCUUAACACAUGCAAGUCGAACGGAAAGGCCCUGCUUGCUGGGUACUCGAGUGGCGAACGGGUGAGUAACACGUGGGUGAUCUGCCCUGCACUUCGGGAUAAGCCUGGGAAACUGGGUCUAAUACCGGAUAGGAGCCAUUUCUAGUGUGAUGGUUGGAAAGUUUUUUCGGUGUAGGAUGAGCUCGCGGCCUAUCAGCUUGUUGGUGGGGUAAUGGCCUACCAAGGCGGCGACGGGUAGCCGGACUGGGGGGGUGGACGGCCACAUUGAGACUGAGAGGCGGCCCAGGCUCCGACGGGUGGCAGAAGGGGGGAAUAUUGCACAAGGGGCGCAGGCCUGAUGCAGCGACGCCGCGGGGGGGAUGACGGCCUUCGGGUUGUAGACUCCUUUCGCUAGGAACGAAGCUUUUUGUGACGGUACCUAGAGAAGAAGCACCGGCUAACUACGUG